rnacentral:rRNA from 1 species
GGUUAAGCGACUAAGCGUACACGGUGGAUGCCCUGGCAGUCAGAGGCGAUGAAGGACGUGCUAAUCUGCGAUAAGCGUCGGUAAGGUGAUAUGAACCGUUAUAACCGGCGAUUUCCGAAUGGGGAAACCCAGUGUGUUUCGACACACUAUCAUUAACUGAAUCCAUAGGUUAAUGAGGCGAACCGGGGGAACUGAAACAUCUAAGUACCCCGAGGAAAAGAAAUCAACCGAGAUUCCCCCAGUAGCGGCGAGCGAACGGGGAGGAGCCCAGAGCCUGAAUCAGUGUGUGUGUUAGUGGAAGCGUCUGGAAAGGCGCGCGAUACAGGGUGACAGCCCCGUACACA